UACGUAGGGUGCAAGCGUUACUCGGAAUUACUGGGCGUAAAGCGUGCGUAGGUGGUUUGUUAAGUCUGUCGUGAAAGCCCCGGGCUCAACCUGGGAAUUGCGAUGGAUACCGGCUGACUAGAGUGUGGCAGAGGGUAGUGGAAUUUCCUGGUGUAGCAGUGAAAUGCGUAGAGAUCAGGAGGAACAUCCGUGGCGAAGGCGACUGCCUGGGCCAACACUGACACUGAGGCACGAAAGCGUGGGGAGCAAACAGG
rnacentral:rRNA from 1 species